AGUGGUAAUGGUAGUAUAGAUAUUAGAGGUAGAAAUGCUACUAGUGGUAAUGGUAGUAAUAUUAGAGGUAAAAAUGAUACUAGUGGUAAUGGUAGUAAUAUUAGAGGUAGAAAUGAUACUAGUGGUAAUGGUAGUAAUAUUAGAGGUAGAAAUGAUACUAGUGGUAAUGGUAGUAAUAUUAGAGGUAGAAAUGCUACUAGUGGUAAUGGUAGUAAUAUUAAAGGUAGAAAUGAUACUAGUGGUAAUGGUAGUAAUAUUAGAGGUAGAAAUGCUACUAGUGGUAAUGGUAGUAAUAUUAGAGGUAGAAAAUAUACUAGUGCUAAUGGUAGUAAUAUUAGAGGUAGAAAUGCUACUAGUGGCAUUGGUAGUAAUAUUACAGGUAGAAAUGCUACUAGUGGUAAUGGUAGUAUAGAUAUUAGAGGUAUAAAUGAUACUAGUGUUAAUGGUAGUAGUAGAGAUAUUAAAGGUAGAAAUGAUA